CCAUGCAGUCGAACGAUGAUGCCCACUUGUGGGUGGAUUAGUGGCGAACGGGUGAGUAACACGUGAGUAACCUGCCCUUGACUCUGGGAUAAGCCUGGGAAACUGGGUCUAAUACCGGAUAUGACCUUCCAUCGCAUGGUGGUUGGUGGAAAGCUUUUGUGGUUUUGGAUGGACUCGCGGCCUAUCAGCUUGUUGGUGGGGUAAUGGCCUACCAAGGCGACGACGGGUAGCCGGCCUGAGAGGGUGACCGGCCACACUGGGACUGAGACACGGCCCAGACUCCUACGGGAGGCAGCAGUGGGGAAUAUUGCACAAUGGGCGCAAGCCUGAUGCAGCGACGCCGCGUGAGGGAUGACGGCCUUCGGGUUGUAAACCUCUUUCAGUAGGGAAGAAGCGUAAGUGACGGUACCUGCAGAAGAAGCGCCGGCUAACUACGUGCCAGCAGCCGCGGUAAUACGUAGGGCGCAAGCGUUAUCCGGAAUUAUUGGGCGUAAAGAGCUCGUAGGCGGUUUGUCGCGUCUGCCGUGAAAGUCCGGGGCUCAACUCCGGAUCUGCGGUGGGUACGGGCAGACUAGAGUGAUGUAGGGGAGACUGGAAUUCCUGGUGUAGCGGUGAAAUGCGCAGAUAUCAGGAGGAACACCGAUGGCGAAGGCAGGUCUCUGGGCAUUAACUGACGCUGAGGAGCGAAAGCAUGGGGAGCGAACAGGAUUAGAUACCCUGGUAGUCCAUGCCGUAAACGUUGGGCACUAGGUGUGGGGGACAUUCC
rnacentral:rRNA from 1 species